GUUUGAGUAGCUUAAUGAUAAAUAGCAUUGCUUUGAAGCAGCAAAGGUGGGUGGUCUUCCCCUCAAACA
rnacentral:tRNA from 1 species